AAAGGAAUUGACGGGGACCCGCACAAGUGGUGGAGCAUGUGGUUUAAUUCGAUGCUACGCGAAGAACCUUACCAGGCCUUGACAUUCUUCUGCUAUCCUAAGAGAUUAGGAGUUCCCUUCGGGGACGGAUCAACAGGUGGUGCAUGGUCGUCGUCAGCUCGUGUCGUGAGAUGUUGGGUCAAGUCCCGCAACGAGCGCAACCUUUGUCAUUAGUUGCCAGCAUUUAGUUGGGCACUCUAGUGAGACUGCCGGUGAUAAACCGGAGGAAGGUGGAGAUGACGUCUGAUCAUCAUGCCCCUUAUGGCCUGGGCUACACACGUGCUACAAUGGGCAGUACAAUGGGUUGCGAAACCGCGAGGUCAAGCUAAUCCCAUAAAGCUGUUCUCAGUUCGGACUGCAGUCUGCAACUCGACUGCACGAAGUUGGAAUCACUAGUAAUCGUGGAUCAGAAUGCCACGGUGAAUACGUUCCCGGGUCUUGUACACACCGCCCGU
rnacentral:rRNA from 1 species